AUUGAACGCUGGCGGCAGGCCUAACACAUGCAAGUCGAGCGGAUGAAGGGAGCUUGCUCCUGGAUUCAGCGGCGGACGGGUGAGUAAUGCCUAGGAAUCUGCCUGGUAGUGUUGGAUAACGUCCGGAAACGGGCGCUAAUACCGCAUACGUCCUGAGGGCGAAAGUGGGGGACCUUCGGACCUCACGCUAUCACAUGAGCCUAGGUCGGAUUAGCUAGUUGGUGGGGUAAAGGCCUACAAAGGCGACGAUCCGUAACUGGUCUGAGAGGAUGAUCAGUCACACUGGAACUGAGACACGGUCCAGACUCCUACGGGAGGCAGCAGUGGGGAAUAUUGGACAAUGGGCGAAAGCCUGAUCCAGCCAUGCCGCGUGUGUGAAGAAGGUCUUCGGAUUGUAAAGCACUUUAAGUUGGGAGGAAGGGCAGUAAGUUAAUACCUUGCUGUUUUGACGUUACCAAAAGAAUAAGCACCGGCUAACUUCGUG
rnacentral:rRNA from 1 species